rnacentral:antisense_RNA from 1 species
CUUCAGCGACCCCAGCCACAGCGGGUCUCGACCGUCCCGGCCCUGACCGUAGGUGGCCAGCAGGGCCUCCGCCUC